CUUAAAUAGACAGAAAAGCUCAUAGGAAUAUUAUGGGUGUUGUUUCAAAAUACCUUGACUCAGUAUGAAAGAAAAAAAAUGCCUCUCUAAAAUAAAUGUGGGUGGGCCUCUGAUUAAUGGAGCGGGCUACAAUUUGAUACACAGGAAGCCCACAAAGUUUUAAAAAACAUUAUAUCAGCUUGCACUGAAAGGGACAGAGAUAGUGCAAAAUGAAAACAGGCUUUUGGACUCUCAAAUUUCUACAGGCAGAAAGGCUGAAAAGGCUACUCAGUUGCAAAAAAUGACCAUUUCUUACAGAAAAAGGAUGACUCUAAAUUGAGAGAGCAAAACCUCGAGCCAGGGAGAAUCAUUAUCAGGAGGCAAGAAUAGCCUAAUAAAAGAACUAACAUCAGUAUAUCAAAAUUUCUAUGGACCAGUAAAGCUGUAUGUUUCCUGUUUCCCUAUUUGUGAAUGGGAAUGUUUACUGCAGCUAUUCUAUGACUGCCUCUUCAUUAUAUUGUUGGGUAGUUGUCUCUUCAGCUACACCUGAGAAGAUUCCUGAACAGUGUACUUGUUGUAAAUAACAAGUUCUUGAACUUUAAGACUCAGGGUAAAGAAGAGUUGGAAAAUAAUUUUGGGAUUCUUGGAGGUGGGUGAGUAAAUAAGGAACAUAGGAAGAGACUGAAUCAUUUGUGACCAGAUAGUGGACUGUGGUGGAUUAAAGAUGGCCACAAAUGUUUUGAUACUUCUUCCACUGGAAGGUCAUGCCUAUGUCUUCUCUCACUAAAACUGGAAGAACUCUGUGACUCCUUUGACCAACAGAAUAUAGUGGAAGUGAUAUGGUACCAUUUUUCAGUUUUAGGCUUUAAGACGCUGGCAGCGUCCACUUUCUAUCUCCACGAAAAUUCUCUCUAGAAGCCGGAAGCCACAAUAAUAAGUCUGACUAUGCUAAGACUACCAUGCUAGAAAGGUCAUGUAGACUUAGCCUUCCACCUCUGCCCAGGCACCCUGUAUAUAUGUAUCUUGAAUCCUCCAGAGAAUUCCAUCCACCAGCAGAAUACCACCCAGUGAUCUCAGUCAACGAAACAUGCAACCAAAAAUCACCAAGCUGGGACCUGCCUGAAUUUUCAACCCAUAGAACGAUGAGCUAAAUGAGACUUGCUGUUUCACACCACUGAAUAUUGGGGCAUUUUAUUAGGUAGUAACAUAUUAUUACAACGUUGAUUUUUGUAACUUAUUAUUAUUUUUUUUAGUUGUUCCAGAAGCCACAAUGUCCCAUUACCACCUUCUACAACCUAACUGAAAGCAGAAACCUGAACCUAGUGAUUUUGCAGAAGCAAUUUGCAAAGUUCAUUAUAAGAUUCCAAGAAGUGGAAUUGCUGAGUUUAUAUGGCACAAUGAUUAAAAAUUAUGUAUCAGUUUGGCUGGACCACAGCACUCAGAUAUUUGGUCAAACAUUAUUCUCGACAUUUCUGCAAGAGUAAUUUUGGACAAGAUCUGCAUUUAGACUGUUAGACUUUGAGUAGAGCAGAUGGUUCUCCAUUAUAUGGGGGAGCUUCAUCUAAUGAGUUGAUGGCCUGAAUAGAACAAAAGGAUGACCUCCCUGGGCAAAAGGGAAGUCCCCAGCAGACUCCCUUCAGACUUCAUCUGCAACAUUGGCUCUUCUGGUUUUCCAGCUGACUGCCUUUAGACUCAAACUGCAACUCUUUCUGAGCCAAUUAAUUCCUUAAAAUAAAUUUUGGCCGGGCGCGGUGGCUCACACCUGUAAUCCCAGCACUUUGGAAGGCCGAGGUGGGCGGAUCACGAGGUCAGGAGAUUGAGACCAUCCUGGCUAACACGGUGAAACCCCGUCUCUACUAAAAAUACAAAAAAAAAAAAAAAAUUAGCCGGGCGUGUUGGCAGGUGCCUGUAGUCCCAGCUACUCAGGAGGCUGAGGCAGGAGAAUGGCGUGAACCCGGGAGGCGGAGCUUGUAAUGAGCCGAGAUCGCACCACUGCACUCCAGCCUGGGUGACAGAGCCAGACUCCGUCUCAAUAAAUAAAUUUCUUCACACACACACACAUACCUGAUUCAUUCUGUCUCUCUGGAGAACCUUACUACAUAUGGUAAGUUGGUUUAACUUUAAAAGAAAUAGCCAAACUAUUUUCCAAAGUGGUUAUAACAAUUUACAUUCCUACCAACAAUGUAUAAUAUGAGAGUUCCUGUUUCUCCACAUCCUAGACACUAUAUACUGUCUUUUUUAUUACAGCCAUCCUAGGGGAUGUAAUCUCAUUGUGGUAUCUCAUUGUGUUUUUAAUGUGUAUCUUCC
rnacentral:lncRNA from 1 species